GCCAGACGACAGUGAGGCCAUGUCGGCUCGCGUUCAAGAGCUCGAGCGUCGCUGUAGAUUAGCUAAUUAGAUACUUGGUUUACUGUGCACGGCGUGGGACACGGUCAAAGGCCAAAGCGAGUCAGUACGAAUCUCAGUGCAGUUUAAAUGGCGAUGGACGCAUGCGUAGCUACCCCCGUGGGUAGCAAAUGCACUCUCAUAUACUAAUUUAGCAAAUUUGUUGGCUUACAGUUUGAAUAUGGUACUGGAUGUAUACGGCGGAGCUGAAUGAUGGAUCCAUCACAAUUCGUACUGCUGUUUGCAGAUCAUUGACCUCUGGCGGUGCCAUAGUCUCUAUGUGUGGUGGUUGGUUUAUGCUUUGAUGGUCGUCUUGCUGAACAAAAUUCCUGUACUGAAGACAAUAACUGGCAUGCAGGCUAUAAGAACAAUGCAGUCCGUCCUGCUAAAAUAUGUAUGACCUGAUUGGACUCCUCUGCCAUCUGGUCUUUAGGUUUUAGUUAUUCUGAUCCAUCUGCUUCUAUCGGUGGUUUGUCUCUGUUGUGGUCAUGGUGCUUCAGUAGAUGUCUUAUGUGUCUUUUAAGUAGGAUCUUCUUUGUUUUAUGCCAUGGAUGGUGCCUGCUGUUAUGCCGCUCCAGCUGAUCAUUUGCUCAUGGAUAUGAGACGGCAUUAUGGAACCCAUUUUUUUGUCCACAAUAGAUAGUCAUGGUUAUUCAAGAAAUUUUAAAGAUAGGGAUAAAGGCGGCGUGAAAGGAGUGAGGGCUUCCGCGCCGGACAAGGAAGGCCACGAGCCCCACGUUGGCAUCCUUGCAAGGACCUAGAAGCGGCAGAUGUGCCGGCAAUGGAGGCGACGCGAAGGGAGGGAGGGCUUCUGCGGCGGACAAGCAAUGAAGUUUGUUGCAGAUUUAUAUGCCUUUCAUCAGAGGGAAAUUGCCGCUUCUGAACACGUAGAAGCAACGGAUCGGAGCUUCGGGAUACUGUAUAGGUAUAAUAAAAAUUGGUGUUUAUGGCUCAGUUUAGCUGAUGGCCUUGAUGGAGCUUUGCUGAUGGUCUUGCUGAAUAACUGAGUGUCUGCUGAGUGAUGAUUUAUGACUGAUAGGUUUGUGCCAUUGCUGCAAAAAGAAGAAAAGCAUCUUUUCCCCUCACCUAAAAAAUUGAUAAAGGCACAAUAUUUGGGUGUCAUGCAAUCCAGCAAUUGAAGCCACUCUUUGCCUCAUCCAUGAGAAGCAUGGAAACUAUACAUGUAGAGGCGAUUUAUGCAAGCCUGAGGAGGUAGACUAUCUGGGAGAGAAGGAUCAUAAAUGCAAUCUUGACUCGGUUCUUAUUGUAACUGACAAGGCUGCUUGUGACCUUCAACGAUUCAAAGCAACUAAGGAGAUCUAGAAAGCAAAUAAGUACAUUUCCUACAACUUGAACUUCGAUUUCAGUGUAGAUGAUCACUUCUCCGGAAGGAGUGCACUUGUGAUGAGCUGCAUCUAAAUUUUGGUGGUUACCUUUCGUGCCGUAUUUCUUUGCAUAUAACUUCUACCCCACCAGCAAAAAUAAAAUAAACUUCCCCCCUACUGUUUAUAGCCUCUUGUGCAUAACACAGCUCUCGCUUAUUUCGCCAUAGAAAACUUAUGUACCCAAAACAUUAUUUAUCGAUAUAUGUUAUGUUUCAGACUGGCUUGCCAGCAGCUGCUCAUAUUUUCAUGUUUCCUCUGCGUC